rnacentral:rRNA from 1 species
GACGAACGCUGGCGGCGUGCUUAACACAUGCAAGUCGAACGGUGAAGCGCCUUCCUUUUUGGUGGGUGUGGAUGAGUGGCGAACGGGUGAGUAACACGUGAGUAACCUGCCCCCUUCUUCUGGAUAACCGCAUGAAAGUGUGGCUAAUACGGGAUAUUCUGGGUCUGUCGCAUGAUGGGUCUGGGAAAGAUAUUGUUUCGGUGGGGGAUGGGCUCGCGGCCUAUCAGCUUGUUGGUGGGGUGAUGGCCUACCAAGGCGGUGUCGGGUAGCCGGCCUGAGAGGGUGGACGGUCACACUGGGACUGAGACACGGCCCAGACUCCUACGGGAGGCAGCAGUGGGGAAUAGUGCACAAUGGGCGCAAGCCUGAUGCAGCGACGCCGCGUGAGGGAUGGAGGCCUUCGGGUUGUGAACCUCUUUCGCCAGUGAAGCAGGCCUGCCUCGUUUGUGGGUGGGUUGACGGUAGCUGGAUAAGAAGCGCCGGCUAACUACGUG